rnacentral:SRP_RNA from 1 species
GGCCGGGUCCCGUACAACGAUGGCUUGUGAACCCCGUCAGGUCCGGAAGGAAGCAGCGGCAGCAAAUCCCGUCGUGUGUUGCGGUAAACCCGGCCGCC